GAAUAUUAAGUGCAGUGGUGUUUACAAUUAGUGAUCACAACCAGUUACAGAUUGCUUUGUUCUUUCUCUACUCCUGCUGCUUCACUUGCCUAUGCUUAU
rnacentral:Y_RNA from 1 species